UCGGCUUGAGGAUCGGGUUUCAACACACGUGUGGGAAACAGUGAAAGUAUAAACUUCCCUACAAGGAGAAGGAGAACACAAACAGCCUACACGGGGAGCUGAGCUGAGGUGAAAUGAACAGGUCAGGCUGUAUUUCAAUGAGAAAGACCUUGGAUGAGAUCCAGUCGUGAGACCUGGGUGGAAAAUGAGAACCAGUCCCUCAGACUAACAUGCAGCCAGCAGCGAAGCUCCAGUCACCAGUGGAAACUCUCAGACAAUGACAUGAACCCCCAUCAAUGGCCGCCUACAAGUUCAAACGGGUACCAUUCAGGCUAACCUGCAUCUACCCAAAGAUGUCAGUCCUCUUGGAACUUCAACUCUUAAACGCUGGCACACUGUAAGAGUGAGUCCUGGAGAAUCCCAGCUUCAAGGCAACCUCAGGCAAAGGAAAGCAUCACACAGGAGUUCAGCAUGCUGUAAGAGAUACUGUGGCACUAUUGCAGAAGCUGUGCAUAUAACAUGCUUCGAACGCAGGAGGAUGCUGGGUAAUUGGGAGGUACGAUGAAACAUUAAAUAUUAAACAUGGUGCUUUCAACAUCAGGCAUAAAGAAUUCUCUUUCUAAAAAUAAAAAGACAGAUCUAAGACUGCUCACAGGGCAGAGGGGUACUGAGCCUGUAAAGACUCUUGCUGCCAAGCCCGACGACCUGAGUUUGAGCCCCAGGACCUGAAGAGUGGGAGGAGAGAACCAACUCUCCCACAGGUUGACCUCUGACCUCCACAUGUUGCUGUGACACACAAGCCCCCUGCUCCCCACAUGCAUGCACACACACUCACACAAAUGAAUAGAUGGAUAAAUCAAGAUAUAAUAAAAAAACUUAAAUUCUUCACAUAAGGCACAAUCUAA